GCUAGAGUAGAACCUACUGUGGCGUACAGCUUCUCUCUCAAACCAGUUUCGUGCAGUGGGUACAACUGCUGGCACCUCACCUGCUUCCACCUGCUGGUAAAACAGGGUUACCACCACCGAACACCUUCACUAGACCCAGCCAUCGGGGCACCUGCUCCACCUGCUGGUCAAACAUCAAUACUACAUCUGCAACAAUUAUCUGAGGAUCUGACCCGCAGUAAUUUAACUGACAACGUUUAAAAGGAAAAAAAAAAACCCAUCUUGAAAAAUUUAAGGGCCUUUGGACAGAUAGACAUCUAAAGAAGAAGAGAGAACUGUCCAGAAAAAAUUACCAAGGAAAGAAACAAUCUGGCAUGAUGGUAUAAUUACUUCUGCAGGGGAACGCAGAGACACAGUCCGCCUGAAUUCUUCACUGCCUGGGCAGGUCCAUGAUAUCCAGACUCCAUCAAAAUGGUUAUAAGAUAUCCAGAACUGCGUACCAUGCUUUUAUACAAGGACUGCUUCCAAUGUGGUUCCAACAAAUCCUGGAAAGCUUAACAUGUGGAUACAUUGUA